UGAGGGCAGCGCCCGGCCCAGCCCCUCAGGAGACGCCGCAGCCGCAGCGCCGCCCGAGCGCCUCAGGGCGCGGCCGCCCUUGGACUGGGGACAGCCCUGAGCCUUCCCCCGGCCAGGCGGGAAGCACUCGGAAUUGCAGAACCGUCAGGGGUGAAAGGGAUCUUUAAGACCAUCCAGUUAAACGUCAGCCAGCACUGCCACUGCAAACCCUAAGCCAGUAAUCCAUUCGCAGUGUCAAAUCCAGAGGCCUCUUUAACACCUCCAGGGAUGGGCAGCUCCACCACCUCCCUGGCCAACCUAUUCCCAGGCCUGAACACCUGAACAGUUUAGAAAUUUUUUUUUCUAAAUUCUAACCUGAAUUUUCUCUCAACGUGAGGCCACUUCCUCUGGUUCUCACUGCAGGCCGAGCAGGAGAGAGCGGCCCCACCUCACCGCACGCUCCUGUCAGGGAGUUGGAGAGAGCAGUGAGGUCCCUCGUGAGCCUCUUCUCCAGACUGAACAAACCCAGCUCCCUCAGCUGCUCCUCAUGGGGCAUGUUUUCUAGACCCUUUGUGAGCCUUGCUGCCCUUCUCUGGACACCCUCAGCCCCUCAAUGUCCUUUUUCACGAGGGGCCCAGUGCCGGGCACAGCACUCGAGUGUGGCCUCAGCAGUGCCCAGCACAGGGCCAGGCACUGCCCUGGUCCUGCUGCUCACACUGCUGCUGAUACAGGCCAGGUGCCCUUGGCCUCUUGUCCCUUGGGCACACUUUGGCUCACACUGACAUGGCUAGUGACCUGCAGGAUGUGGCACUUGGCCUUGUGGAACCUCACGCCUUUGUCCUCGGCCCGUUGAUCGCGUCUGUCCAAGUCUCACUGCAGAGCCUUCCCGUCCUCUAGCAGAUCCACAUUCCCACCCAACUGGGCAUCUGCAAAUUCACUCAGGGUGCUCUCAAUCCCCACCUCCAGAUCGUCAAUAAAGAUGUUAACCAGGACCAGCCCCAAAACAGAGCCCUGGUGAACACAUUUCAAUGCUCUGCAGUUGGAGGCUGCAAUGCCCCCACAACAGAAAGAGCUGCCAUCCCUUGGCACUGGCCACACACACAGGUGCAGGAAAAAACCUUUUACUAGGUGAAUAUGGCUGACAGAACUGACUUUCAGGCACACACUCCCUUUCCCUAAUGACCCUGAACUCUAUAAAAGGUAUUUCACCUUCCAGCUCUUUGCACCAUUGGAUCCUCAGACCAUCAGAGCUCCACCAGCCUCUCUUAUCCUUUUGCACCUUCUCCCCACUCAAGCUGAUGAGCAGCUUCUGUAAGAAAAAAUGCAGUUCUGUUGCCAGUGAGGUGAGCCAAUUUGCAAAUGCGACUUACCCUGCCAAAAACAGCUACUGCCUUUUUCUUUCAGAGGGUGACUCCCUCUACCUUCCAGAAGAUGUCUCUCACCACCAAGCAGAGGCUGGCCAGAGCUAAGAAGCUGAGUCUGCCUCAGAUUGUCCAGCCUCAAGACAAGCGUGAGACCUGUCAUCACAAGGUUCCUCAGCUGGUGAAGGUCACCUUGGAGAGCCACCUUAUUUCCAGCUGGUAGGGCCCAGUGGUAUGUACUGCAAGGUGCCACCAGGCCUCUAUACGACUGUCUGCAUCCUCUUCACCCCUGGGCAGAACAAGGAUUAUUCCCACCAGCUCGUCUGCACCACUGAAAGGGAAGAGUUCAUUGUGCCAAUUUGGGCUAUUGGUGCCCAAGCUAUCCUGGACUUCCGUGACCAGCUGGACUUUUUGGGGUGUCCAGUCAAGUACAGCACCAGAGGACUCUGCUGUUUCACACUGUUGGUAACCGGGCAGCUUGUUACCAGCUGAGCACCCAGAGGUGAGGCAGCCCAUCUCUCCUUGUGCAAAACACCUUUGGGUGAUAACAGGGUUGGGAAAGAGCAACAGAAGGAAGCAGAGCAUCGCAGCUGCUGCCCUGCAGCCUGGCUGGAAACGGGCAGGACGUGUGGGGUUUGCUGUUGCUUCCCAUGUUUUAAGCAGGAUGCAGCCUUUGAGCUGUCUCUGUCCCAGAUUUCUCUGUUCCUGGAGGGUGCUGGAACACAUUAGUAGCUGGCUUGCACCCUCCUGAGCACAAGCAGCUUCUGAAAUGCCUACUCACCACUGUCAGCCAAAUAGACCCAUUCUCUGGGAGGAGACAAGCACAUGGCCUUCCAGUGGUCCUCUCAUCAGAUGCCCAACAUGAGCUGUGUUGUGGACAGCCUGUGCUGUUCCUGUCAGUCUCAGAAGACAAUCACUGUUUCUCCUGUUGGCUGAACUGGAGAGGGUAAUGCAUUUUUGACACCGUAUCUGCAAGGAAACCAGUUCAGUUGGCUGGUGGUGAGUUGAGGUUUACUUGAUCCCAGAGGUCUUGGUGUAGGAGCUCAGGUCAGGAAUGCAGCACAGACCUGCUGUCUAACCUGGGGCAGCUGAAUGGCUUUGAUUUUUUUCCUGGCAAAACCAAGGUCAAAAGGAAAAUUCAUAUUUCUUCUGUGAAACUUGAGGGUCUGAGAGGAGCUUCCAUCAAAGCCUGCCAAAGCUAUUUAAACAGGUAUGGUGGCUGCUCUCUGGUCACAGAGCAACAGGCACACCUUUCCCAAGCAUUAUGCUGGGAAAGGCUGUGAGAAAAAUCAGAGAAAAGAAUGAUAAACAAUUCUUAUCUUCACUUCACUUCUUGCACCUGUUGUUGUGAACAUGUGGAAUAUGUUAUGGAGAUUUGUUUACCAAAGGGUGAUUUCUUAAUUGGCCACUAGUAAUAGUGUUUUGGAUUCAAGGACCAAUUGGAUUCAUCGGACUGUCUGGAAGGGCAAUGAGUUUCUUAAUAAGUAUAGUAUAGUAUAGUAUAGUAUAGUAUAGUAUAGUAUAGUAUAGUAUAGUAUAGUAUAGUAUAGUGUAAAAUAAUAAAGCAAUUGAUCAGCCUUCUAGAAUCAUGGGGUCAAUGCUAAUUAUUACGCAGUGGGGACUCAUACUAUGAUAAGCAGGCUCCUCAGAUGUUGUUCAAGCAGGCUGUUGCUUUUGACUGUGCAAAUAUGUAGGCAGGAACUUGUAAAUCCAGGCACAGUUUUUCUCUGGGAUUUCCAGAUCUGCUUGUGUCACCACCAAAAUAAAUAUCCAUAAAAUCUUGUAUCCUUUUGCAAUAGGCUUCUCAGCUGUUAUACUGAGUGCUACAGAGCAUGUUGGAUCCUGCUUGAUAGAGAUUUAAAGAUUUUCUGAACUUCAGGAAUUAAAUAUUGAAGUAGACGAAAUAGAGCCUGGGUGCAGUGACAGAGGGAAAGAUGGAGCUUGUGAUUUGCUGACUCUGUAUGGAAUUUUUCAGCAGAGAGAUGGAAUAAUGGCUGCUUUAACCUAACAGACUGGAUUUAUUGGAAUAGUUAGUGCCAUUUGACUUCAGCUGUUACACCACCACUAAAAAGUAAGAUAUGUUAAAAUUAGGUGAUAUUUGGGUUUCUUCCUGCAGUAGGUGUUAGUGGAGAGAUGAGGCAAUUCAAUUAGCAGUAAUUUUUCUGUCUUCCUUGGGGUGGGAGGCAGCUUUUAAUGAGAUUGAUUCUCCCAAAAUCAAAUAAUUUAAUAAUGGCAGUUAAGGCCCCAGUGGACAAAAUAACUUUUGGCUAUAGCAGUUAACUAUACCAUGGGGAUUGAAAUAGAUUGCAGCCUCCUUGCACACAGCAUUUACCAAAAGUGCAUUUACCAUGGUGCUUUUGAGAGCCUUGCUCACAAAAUUGCCAGCUUUUCUCACUUUGUCAGCUCUGUUUCUAAAUUAUGUCAGGAGUACGUGGUGCUUGGUGUCCUCAUGGCCAUAACUUUUGCCUAGCUUUGUCAAUAAGGAGAGCUGAUGCCUGAUGAAAGUAAGCAAGAUGCAAGAGACCUUUUGUCGAGGCCCUAGGGGGCAUUCCCUGGUUUAGCGAGACACAAGAACCUUCCCUCAAAAAGCUGUUUGACCCCAUUGGCUCCUUCCUUUGCCCCUGUGUCCCUUGGUCUCUUCCCUGGUUGGCCCUCAUCUUGUACUGCCUCAAGACCAGGUGGACCCUGAGGUCCCCUGGAGACAGAGAAAGCUAGAUCCUCGAUGUGUGAGUGUCAAGGACUCUGAACAUCUCACUGGGUGGCUGAAUACAACAUCUGUGGAUAUUAUGCAAAGGCCCUUUUGGCUUCUUUACCCGGGACUUUACUGGCAGCAAUUCAGACUACAACCAAUGGUGCCCAAACGUGAGGCCCAGACCUUUUCUCAUGGAAAACAUCUGCACUAGACCACCCCGAGAAUUUGAGCUUUUUCACCCCAGUUUGGUGAGUUUGAAAUUUUGGUUCUUUCCUCCUUUUACUCUCAGUUGUUGGGAAGAGACUGGUUAGGAUGAAAACAACACUCACCCAUGCAGACCAGGAAGUUUACCUCCACCUUAAAAAGUAUUGUAUUCAAGAAAAUUUUUGUUUUCCAGAGGGGGAGUUGAAGUGUUUUCAAGAAAAUUUUUGUUCUUCAGAUGGGGAGUUAAAAUGUUUUCCAAAAGAUUUUUGUUUUUCAGUGGGGAAGUUGAAAUAUUUUUUCCACUGGUUAUUUAAGCAUUUUCCUUACAUUUUGCGGAACUCAGUCCUAACUGAUGAAUUUUUGGAAGUACUUUGGGAAGAGUUAAAAACUAAGACAGAAUUCCAUCCUUUAUUUAGUAUGAUGAUGAAAUGCGUUCUGUAUCUUGAAGAACACUUAAAAAAUGGUGAACGGCCGUUGAAAACCCCUCUUCGUGCUCCUGCACCCCCUCCCCUGUCGCAAGGAAAGACUCCUCCAGGUUCUCCUGUUCCUGCUGCCCAAGUUGGCUCUCAUCACAUGGCUGCAGCCACAUGGUCGCCUUCAUGUGGUCAAUAUGGUGGAGACCGCAUGUCAGGGGCCACAGGGUCUCCCCUUCCACCCUCUGGUCCUCACGCCUCCUCCCACAGUUCCCACAGUCCCAGUCCCAGGAGUGACGGUGGUUGGGUCAGAGGAGCAGGCCCUGAUUGUGAAAUUACAGUGGCACCAGUCUCUUACAACCCAAGGGAAAGAAACCCCAUGUGCACUUGCAGUGCUGGAAAGAACAGUAAACAAAAGAACGGACCUAGGUUUACCUAGGUUGCUAUAGCACCACGAGAUGUGGCAUGGGUGAGAAUCGUCUCCCCUCACACUGAACAGCGGCCCCCACAGAAAAGCUGUGACCACCCCACUGCCGCUACACAUGACGA